GCAUAUCAAUAAGCGGAGGAAAAGAAACCAACAGGGAUUGCCCUAGUAACGGCGAGUGAAGCGGCAACAGCUCAAAUUUGAAAUCUGGCUCUUUCAGAGUCCGAGUUGUAAUUUGCAGAGGGCGCUUUGGCUUUGGCAGCGGUCCAAGUUCCUUGGAACAGGACGUCACAGAGGGUGAGAAUCCCGUACGUGGUCGCUAGCUAUUGCCGUGUAAAGCCCCUUCGACGAGUCGAGUUGUUUGGGAAUGCAGCUCUAAAUGGGAGGUAAAUUUCUUCUAAAGCUAAAUAUUGGCCAGAGACCGAUAGCGCACAAGUAGAGUGAUCGAAAGAUGAAAAGCACUUUGGAAAGAGAGUCAAACAGCACGUGAAAUUGUUGAAAGGGAAGCGCUUGCAGCCAGACUUGCUUGCAGUUGCUCAUCCGGGCUUUUGCCCGGUGCACUCUUCUGCAGGCAGGCCAGCAUCAGUUUGGGCGGUGGGAUAAAGGUCUCUGUCACGUACCUCUCUUCGGGGAGGACUUAUAGGGGAGGCGACAUACCACCAGCCUGGACUGAGGUCCGCGCAUCUGCUAGGAUGCUGGCGUAAUGGCUGUAAGCGGCCCGUCUUGAAACACGGACCAAGGAGUCUAACAUCUAUGCGAGUGUUUGGGUGUCAAGCCCGAGCGCGUAAUGAAAGUGAACGGAGGUGGGAACCCGCAAGGGCGCACCAUCGACCGAUCCUGAAGUUUACGGAAGGAUUUGAGUAAGAGCAUGGCUGUUGGGACCCGAAAGAUGGUGAACUAUGCUUGAAUAGGGUGAAGCCAGAGGAAACUCUGGUGGAGGCUCGCAGCGGUUCUGACGUGCAAAUCGAUCGUCAAAUUUGGGCAUAGGGGCGAAAGACUAAUCGAACUAUCUAGUAGCUGGUUCCUGCCGAG
rnacentral:rRNA from 1 species